rnacentral:tRNA from 1 species
GGCAGCGUGGCUCAGCGGACAGAGCCCCGGGCUUGGGAGUCGGGGGUCAUGGGUUCGAAUCCCGGCUCUGCCC